GACGAACGCUGGCGGUGUGCUUAACACAUGCAAGUCGAACGGUAAGGCCCUUUCGGGGGUACACGAGUGGCGAACGGGUGAGUAACACGUGAGUAACCUGCCCUCAUCUCUGGGAUAACAGUCGGAAACGGUUGCUAAUACUGGAUAUGAGCUUGCAAGGCAUCUUGUGGGUUGGAAAGAUUUUUUUUGGUUGGGGAUGGACUCGCGGCCUAUCAGCUUGUUGGUGAGGUAGUGGCUCACCAAGGCUUCGACGGCUAGCCGGCCUGAGAGGGCGACCGGCCACAUUGGGACUGAGAUACGGCCCAAACUCCUACGGGAGGCAGCAGUGGGGAAUAUUGCACAAUGGACGGAAGUCUGAUGCAGCAACGCCGCGUGCGGGAUGACGGCCUUCGGGUUGUAAACCGCUUUCAAUUGUGACGAAGCUUUUUUGUGACGGUAGCAGUAGAAGAAGCACCGGCUAACUACGUG
rnacentral:rRNA from 1 species